rnacentral:tRNA from 1 species
GCCCGGCUAGCUCAGUGGAUAGAACACGAGACUCUUAAUCUCAGGGUUGUGGGUUCGAGCCCCACGUUGGGCG